GGAGCACAAAAAUGGAGAAACAAAGGGUCAACAAAUGCAGCGGUGGUACUCACUAGACACUGCAUGGAAAAUGAACUAUACUACCUGUGGAUGGGGAUAGCAAGGAACACUGGGAGAGAGUUAGAGAGUGAAAGAAGGGGUGAUAUUGUCCAAAAAGAAAUGUACUCACUAUUUGGCUUAUGUAACUGUAAUCCUCUUGUAUAUCAUCUUUGUAAUAACAAUAAAAAUUAAAUUAAAAAACUACCAGUGUUGUGAUGUAUGGCACUUCCUGAACAUGUGUAAAUCUACGGGAAAAACCUUUUCUCAGAAGUUAUGUUUACCUAUGACCACAGGCAAUGCCUACAUAAACUCAUAUGCACGUGAAUUUUAACUCAAAUUUGAAAAAAUUUGC